AUUGAACGCUGGCGGCAGGCCUAACACAUGCAAGUCGAGCGAGCGGCGGACGGGUGAGUAAUGUAUGGGGACUGCCCGAUAGAGGGGGAUAACUACUGGAAACGGUGGCUAAUACCGCAUACUAUCGAUUAACCCAUUGGGGAUUAGCUAGCAGGUGGGGAAAAGGCUCACCUAGGCGACGAUCCCUACCUGGUCUGAGGGGAUGAUCAGCCACACUGGGACUGAGACACGGCCCAGACUCCUACGGAGGCAGCAGUGGGGAAUAUUGCACAAUGGGCGCAAGCCUGAUGCAGCCAUGCCGCGUGUAUGAAGAAGGCCUUAGGGUUGUAAAGUACUUUCAGCGGGGAGGCGUUACCCGCAGAAGAAGCACCGGCUAACUCCGUGCCAGCAGCCGCGGUAAUAC
rnacentral:rRNA from 1 species